rnacentral:rRNA from 1 species
AUUGAACGCUAGCGGGAUGCCUUACACAUGCAAGUCGAACGGAGUGGCGAACGGGUGAGUAAUGUAGCGGAACGUGCCCAGUAGCGGGGGAUAACUCCGCGAAAGCGUAGCUAAUAACGCAUACUAUUGGAGCGGCCGCUAGCGGCUUAGCUAGUUGGUGGGGGAACGGCUCACCAAGGCGACGAUCCGUAGCUGGGUUGAGAGGACGACCAGCCACACGGGGACGGAGACACGGCCCAGACUCCUACGGGAGGCAGCAGUGGGGAAUUUUGGACAAUGGGGGAAACCCUGAUCCAGCCAUCCCGCGUGUGCGAGGAAGGCCUUCGGGUUGUAAAGCACUGUUGGCAGGGAAGCGGUACCUGCAGAAUAAGCACCGGCUAACUACGUGCCAGCAGCCGCGGUAAUUC